rnacentral:rRNA from 1 species
GAUGAACGCUGGCGGCGUGCCUAAUACAUGCAAGUCGAGCGAACAGACGAGGAGCUUGCUCCUCUGACGUUAGCGGCGGACGGGUGAGUAACACGUGGAUAACCUACCUAUAAGACUGGGAUAACUUCGGGAAACCGGAGCUAAUACCGGAUAAUAUAUUGAACCGCAUGGUUCAAUAGUGAAAGACGGUUUUGCUGUCACUUAUAGAUGGAUCCGCGCCGCAUUAGCUAGUUGGUAAGGUAACGGCUUACCAAGGAAACGAGGCGUAGCCGACCUGAGAGGGUGAGCGGCCACACUGGAACUGGUACACGGUCCAGACUCCUACGGGAGGCAGCAGUAGGGAAUCUUCCGCAAUGGGCGAAAGCCUGACGGAGCAACGCCGCGUGAGUGAUGAAGGUCUUCGGAUCGUAAAACUCUGUUAUUAGGGAAGAACAAAUGUGUAAGUAACUAUGCACGUCUUGACGGUACCUAAUCAGAAAGCCACGGCUAACUACGUG